UCUUAGUGUAGAAAAUUGUUUAAAAAAGGGGGUCCAUAUCCGCUAAAGGGGGUCCAUAUCUGCUAGGAGAUUUGGACCGGGGGGUCCAUAUCUACUAGGAGAUUUGGACCGGGGGGUCCAAAUCUACUGGGGGGUCCAAAUCCGCUGUGACACCGGGCGCGUAGUAUUUUGAAAAUACUGCCCCGGCUGCCGCAUGUAGACUAGUAUAUAUAAACUAGAUCGAGCACACAAAAUAUCAACUAUUAUGCGUUUAUACUACAGUCGUUUUAUAGUUUUGAUCGAGUACACCGAAUACGCGCCGAAUACGUCACUUUUGAUCGAGUACGCUUAGAAAGCGUAUACAUUCACAAAUACUUGAUCGAGUACGCAUAUUAAAAUGCACUAUUAUAGUACUGAGUACAGUCCUCAGAGUGCUCAGAGCCAUAUUCAUAGAUAGAGUAAACAAAGUUAGCACGAAGAGCAGGAAGUCGAAUGAGCCAUUGAACGCCAAUAAAGAUAAUCACAAAUAACUGAUCACAUGUGUUCACGAUUUGUUUCGAUUGGUCAGAAUUAAGAGAGGCCACGUGGGAGAAUAAGUCUUGCGCGAAAAAAACCCGGCGAAACAAUGAACAAUGACUCUCGCUUUCGAGUAGCGAGUACUAAUAAUUUAACUGACUCGAAUAUAUUUCAGUAAAUUCCAAGAAACUUUAUCCAGUCCUGGUUUUGAGAUAAGUGCAUAUAUUCAAAAUAAUUGACGAAGAUGGCAAAUCGGCGAGGUCGAGGGCAACAACAGCAACAUUUGCAGCUACAAAUACCCUUAUUACUACGAAUAAUAAUAAUGGGACCAGUUUACUUAGGGGUUGCUUUCGCUUUAAUGAAAGUCGUGGACUCACUACAAGUGUUGCUUAACUCGCUUUCAUUUGAGAUGUUCGAAGAUGUAUUUAAUGGCAUUUAUUAUCAAUUUUUGUACUGUUAUACUUAUUGUUCUAGAACCAAAGUGCGUAAUGUUGUUCAAAAUUUAGGUAACCAAGUUCAUGUCAAGUUUUGCGAUGUGGUGAUAACCCUUAUCGAUAAUUCAAGUUUGCUACUUGAUUACCUCAUGACUUGUAUUUACAACAUUACUUUACGAUUCUUAGAAAUAAUUUGGCAGGUACUUAAUAAGUUACUUAACUAUGCAACCUACAUCGGUGGUUGGUUUCAUGGAAAUAUACUCCAAUUUGUUACACUAUUGGAUGCUCAUUUUCCUGGUGGGAUUCCACUAAUUGGGCUAUUCCAUUUAAUAUCCGUACCCCCCCUGUCGAGGAUACCUGGAAUUCUUCAGGGGUAGGGUGUUUUGAGCUUGGAAUUCUUCAGGGGUAGGGUGUUUUGAGUUUGGAAUUCUUCAGGGGUAGAUUGUUUUGAGCUUGGAAUUCUUCAGUGGUAAAGGAUUUUGAGUUUGGAAUUCUUCAGGGGUACAGUGUUUUUAGCUUGGAAUUCUUCAGGGGUAAAGUGUUUUGAGCUUGGAAUUCUUCAGGGUAGAUUGUUUUGAGCUUGGAAUUCUUCAGGGGUACAGUGUUUUGAGCUUGGAAUUCUUCAGGGGUACAGUGUUUUGAGUUUGGAAUUCUUCAGGGGUACAGUGUUUUGAGCUUGGAAUUCUUCAGGGGUACAGUGUUUUGAGCUUGGAAUUCUUCAGGGGUACAGUGUUUUGAGCUUGGAAUUCUUCAGGGGUACAGUGUUUUGAGUUUGGAAUUCUUAAGGGGUAAAUGAUUUUGAGUUUGGAAUUCUUCAGGGGUAGGGUGUUUUGAGCUUGGAAUUCUUCAGGGGUAGGGUGUUUUGAGUUUGGAAUUCUUCAGGGGUAGAGUGUUUUGAGUUUGGAAUUCUUCAGGGGUAGGGUGUUUUGAGUUUGGAAUUCUUCAUGGGUAGAGUGUUUUGAGCUUGGAAUUCUUCAGGGGUAGGGUGUUUUGAGUUUGGAAUUCUUCAGGGGUAAAGGAUUUUGAGUUUGGAAUUCUUCAGGGGUACAGUGUUUUGAGCUUGGAAUUCUUCAGGGGUAAAGGAAUUUGAGUUUGGAAUUCUUCAGGGGUACAGUGUUUUGAGUUUGGAAUUCUUCAGGGGUACAGUGUUUUGAGCUUGGAAUUCUUCAGGGGUACAGUGUUUUGAGUUUGGAAUUCUUCAGGGGUAAAGGAUUUUGAGCUUGGAAUUCUUCAGGGGUAAAGUGUUUUGAGUUUGGAAUUCUUCAGGGGUAGAGGAUUCGAGCUUGGAAUUCUUCAGGGGUAAAGAGGUUUGAGAUCGAAAUUUUUCAGAGUUUGGAAUUCUUCAGGGGUAAAGUGUUUUGAGCUUGGAAUUCUUCAGGGGUACAGUGUUUUGAGCUUGGAAUUCUUCAGGGGUAGGGUGUUUUGAGUUUGGAAUUCUUCAGGGGUAGAGUGUUUUGAGCUUGGAAUUCUUCAGGGGUAAAGAGGUUUGAGAUCGAAAUUUUUCUGAGUUUGGAAUUCUUCAGGGGUAAAGUGUUUUGAGUUUGGAAUUCUUCAGGGGUAGAGUGUUUUGAGC
rnacentral:lncRNA from 1 species